UGGGCAGCUCUAGUGCGACGUAAAUGAACAAAUCAAAUCAAAUCAAAUUGACCGCACAACCAGGAAAGUCUCUCCAACUUCAAGCUCUACAUUUUUCUUGCAAAUUGAAGGGAAGUGAAAAUUAUGAUUCACUAUUAUAAAUAAGCAGAAAAACACUUUUGAACUCCGAAAUUAUUUUAUGACCUUGUAAUUUUGUUUUUACAAUUUUAGAUUUUUACCUUUAUAGCCAGGAUGAACCAAUCCGAUGCACCUGCUGCUGAUGAAUUUAACAGCAUUGAACCUGUAGAUCCAGACGAUCCUUUAGCGGUUGAAGUAAACGUCGAUGGUGAAUCUCUUCCUGCUAGCCCUCGACGUAGAAGAUAUGCCGAAGCAAGUCCAAGGCCAUCAGCUACCAGAAGAUUUUUUGAUUUUAGUCACGCCACCCGGGGACAGAUUUGUCUUAGAGUCGCACAAUUGAAUGGAAUCUUAAUCAUCCUACUGUUUGCAGGAUAUGGAUUCUACAAUUUCGUUAUGGUGUUAAUCAGCUAUUUCGCUAAGCCCUAAAUACGUCUUCAUGUCAACUUCCGGGACAGCAAUGUAAAGAAAUCUUUUGUAUUUUAACAUUUUACUCUCGGCAUUGUUUGAUUUUUGUAUUUAGUUCCUAAUAAACGUUUUUGAUUUUCAA